GGGCAGUUCUAAAUCACAAUCUCAGGAAUGGCUUUACUCUUAGUGUUUAUUGGGGUUUUAUUUUUUCUGUCUUGUUUUAUUUUAAGUUAUGAAAGCAUGAAGCAAAUUGUUUCACAGGGUAUCCAAGAGAGAAGGAAAUUAGGUCCCCAAGCCAGGUGAGCAGCAAGUGAGGAGAAGAUACCUUGAGGACAUCAGAGACCAAGUAUACAGGGGCCUGGAGACGUCUAGAUAUGACCAAGCUGCACAACUGGAAGAUGGAGAGGAUACUGGCUCUUCUAGGGAGUCCUGCCAGACUGAGUCCUCACCCCGACAUUGGCAUGACAAGCCUUAGCAACACUAGAGUGAAGGAGAGAUGCCAGGCCCCUAAAGGCUCCUUUUGAGCUCUACAGAGCCUCCUGUGGCUGUCUGGUGUGAGUGUCUGAGGGGACCAGGAUGCAACAAACUUCUGCCUAUCCCACCAGAAUACCUGGGAACUGGACUCUCCAGGUGGUGCUCAAGCUAGCAAUAAAAGCUGUGAGUACACUAGCCAGAGUGUGUGUGUCUCAGGCUUGAGAGGGGUGGGACAGGGCUGGGCAGGCAGUUGGGAGGAGAGCACUAGGCAUCUAAGGUCCAAGUGAAAGACUUAAUCCCCAAGGGAAGGGCCCCAACUAGGCCCUUGAAAGCACCACAGUCACUGAUUGUCAAGGUCUUCAGAUGAGUGUUGAAGCAGGACAUUGGUCAUGUCAGAAAGGAGUUUUGCUGACAGAAACUAGGAGCCUAGGCUUCAGAGGGCCUGUGUGGACAGGGGUUUGGUGAGAGAAGAGGGAGUCAUAACAACGUGGAGUCAAGAAGGGGUCAGAAAAAAGGAGGUGACAGAAGGAAGUCAGUCUGUACCCUAAAGCCCUGGAUAAUACAAGAAUGGACUUCAAGAGCAGGGCAAAGGUGCUCCAUGCCUUUAGUUCAGCAUGUGUGAGGGAGAGACAUGCAGAUCUGUCUAGUUCAAACUCAGCCUGGUCUACAAAGUUCCAGGCAAGCCAUGGUUACAUAGUAAGACCCUAGCUCAAAUACAGGUGGGACACUUUAAGUCCAGGUCAGGUACAUCAUGAGCAGAGAAAAUCCACAGAGGUGAUAUCACUAAAGUAACACGGCUGCUUCCCAGGAACUGAGAGGAGCAGUCUGGCUAGAUGACCGCAGAUGUCUAGGCCUGGAUUCUCCAAAUGUGUACUACAAUAUUUUCUGUCUCUCCUCGAAGGUUGUGCUUGCUAACCAUAGAACAGGACAGCAUCGUUCUGGGUGGCAUUAUGUGACCCAUCAGUUAAGUAGGACAGAUUGGGAAGGUCCAGGCCAGCUUGAACUUCUCUUUCAGCCACUGGCUUCUGUCACUGUCGGGAGUAGACCCCUCCUCUGUGGUACAUCUCUUCUCAUAGUUACAGACUGUAUUCCAGGAGUGGGCUGAGGCAGCCCCCAAACGUCCCAGAAAUCUGAUGUCACAGGCAUGGUACUAGUGCUGUGGACUGAAUCUACCCUUUACAAGAUUUUUCAAUAUGGCUUAACUAUUUAUAUGGUGUUAGUGAGCAUUCUACUCUGAAGAAGCUUAAUAAAAUUUGACCUAUUUAGCCUUUACCCUGAAAACAAAAAGAAUUCAUAUAUUGCAUCCUAUGUAACAGCAUUUGAUAACAUACCUGUAGUUUUAAAAUUGUGAAGUUGUGUUUUUUGGGUUUUGUGGAUUUGGGGUUUUGUUUUUGUUUUUGUUUUUGUUUGGUUCGGUUUGUUGUUAUUGUUGUUUUGGAGAAGUUUCUUUUCAAGGAUGUGUCUGACAAUACUACAAAUGUAGCUUUUGGGCCCAGACUUGAGGUCUGAGCUUUGUAUGACUGUGAAUAGACUAUGGUCACUUCCU
rnacentral:lncRNA from 1 species